CGUCGUGAGAAUUAUUUUAUGUUUUAUUUUUAUUAUUUUAUUACUUCCCUUCUACGUGAUGACUUUACCGAAAGAACCAAGAAGACGCACCUCCUUUCUCGAACCCGCUAGCAGGUACCAGGGGAUCGCGAAUGGGCCUUCUGUGACCCUUGGCCAAAUUCCUCCGCCCUGCCGACACACACACCGUGUAUAUGCUCACCGGCGUGUGCCCUGUUUGUACACCGCAGUUGCCGCUGAUGGUCACCAGCCGGCGCUAUUACACUACGUACGUUUGAGCUUCUUUCGCAUUGUUUAGCCUUUUUGUUUUCUGUCAAUUUCAUAAAAUUUUUGGUGUGAAUUUCAGCAUAAGCUACUUCUCGUCCAAAGCUGACUUUGUGCGCAGACCGGUAUGCAUGAGUGGUAGGAUGCCAUUUAAAAUGCAUACCAUAAAUUGAAGUUCCAGCUUUUGUGUGUGUAUGUUGAACUACCAUUGGAACCUCAUUUGCCAGUAAAAAAUAUAAUUGUUUUUUUACCCUUCUAUCUGGCAACAAAACUGACACCUUUUUUUACAAGGAGUCAUGUUUGCAUUGACCGCAAUACCUGCAGUCAUAAUGCAAACAAAAACAUAACUCUGAUAAUGUAUGCACUGUCCUUGAAGUUGAUUGGUCCACACCCGAGACAGCUUUCCUUAGAGCCUAGUCUCACAUGGUGUUGGACCAGAUGACGCCAAAAGGCGCACAACUCAAAGACAGCGCACUAUCAGAGUAUGAGAGCUCGGGGUAGGCAUUUACACCAUUGGAAUCUCAUUUGUCAGAAGAAAAAAAUGAUAAUUGUUUUUUUACCCUUCUAUCUGGCAACAAAACUGACACCUUUUGUUUGCAUUAUGACUGCAUGUAUUGUGGUCUAUGCAAACAUGACUCCUCGUAAAAAAAGGUGUCAGUUUUGUUGCCAGAUAAAAGGGUAAAAAACCAAUUAUCAUUUUUUUCUAUUGGCAAAUGAGGUUCCAAUGGUGUAAAUGCUUCACCCCGAGCUCUCAUACUCUGAUGGUGCAUUGUCUUUGAGUUGUGCGCCUUUUGGCGUCAUCUGGUCCAACACCAUGUGAGACUAGGCUCUAAGGAAAGCUGUCUCGGGUGUGGACCAAUCAACUUCAAGGACCAUGUGAGACUAGGCUCUAAGGAAAGCUGUCUCGGGUGUGGACCAAUCAACAUCAAGGACAGUGCAUAUAUUAUCAGAGUUAUGUUUUUUGUUUGCAUUAUGACCGCAGGUAUUGUGGUCAAUGCAAACAUGACUCCUCGUAAAAAAGGUGUCAGUUUUGUUGCCAGAUAAAAGGGUAAAAAAACAAUUAUCAUUUUUUUUUCUACUGGCAAAUGAGGUUCCAAUGGUGUAAAUAAUUUUUUUUGUCUCUUUACCUGUUUAUGCACGCCAAUUUUUUUCUUUUUCGUAAAUAAAUUUCAAACACCAAAAACACGCACUACCCCUAAAAAAACAUGCUAUACAAGAAUGUACAAACAUAAGCUAUUUUAAACAAUGAUUGUGAGAUUAUUACGUUUUUGAAAAUUUUCCGAGCCCUUCCCACACCCCUAUGCUGCUGGAUGACACUGGUCAACACACUUUGUCUGGCAUAAGGUAAUUCCAACGGGUUUAAGAAUGGAAAUAAUAAAAGAAUAAAAAAUAAAACAUAGUAAAAUAAAAUAAUAUUUUUAUUAUUUUAUUAUUUCCAUUCUACGUGAUGACUUUACCUAAAGAACCAAGAAGAUGAAUCCCUGCAGUCACGAAAGCUUUAAAUCAAGAUGACACUGGUCAACACACUUUGUUCUGGCACAAGGUAUUCCAACGGUUUCAAGGUAAUUUUGUGGGGUGCUGAUUCCAAAUCUGGCAUCAGUUUUUGUCUAUCGCAUCUGGUUUUUGAGAUAUCAAAUAUUGCAUUUUCAAUAAAAACUGCGGAAGAAAAAUAUGAAAUAAAUGUGGAUAUCUACAUAAAAUGAUGAUAUUAUAAACACACUAUCCUAAAAAUACAGCACCGUAUUUUAACACUAAAGCAGUCACUGACUCGCAACAAGUUGCAAUCAUAAGUGACGGACUUAAUUUCGGGUAAAAUCAAUGAAAAUGGGGUAUGCCGAUAGCAUAAAAAUGAGAUGUGAUGGAGCAAAUCUGAGAUCAGAUUUGGAAUCGGCACCCUGAAAUUAGUCGAGAACAGCUGCAAAAGUCCAGGAAACAUGCUUUUUUUGUUACCUGUCUUAUCGAUUAUCGAUCAUUUCACACAGUAGAGGCGUUGUUGUUGUAUGCUCAAAUCUUGUAACUCAAUUUUAACCCACUUCCCAAUGUGUAUCGACUGGAAACUUGGUAUACUGAUGUCUUAGUGAUGACAACACCGUAUUCUAUCAUAAAAAUAAAUAGAAUAUAUUUUUAAACAAUAUUUUUUACACGCUUUUGAUAAACUCACUUUGUCUGUUGUUGUUGUAACCUCAAAUAUUGUAACUCAAUUUUAACCCACUUCCCAAUUGGGUUACUUACGUCACACUGAUGACGUUCUACCAUAAAAUAAUCAAAAACAUAUUUUUAAAAACAUUCUUUUACACGCUUUGAUAAACUCACUCUGUCUGUUGUUGUAUCUUCAAAUCUUGUAACUCAAUUUUAACCCACUUCUCAAUGUGGUAUCGACUGGAAACUUGGUAUACUGAUGUCUUACUGAUGACAAUACUAUAUUCUGUCAUUAAAAAUAAAAUAGAAUAUAUUUUUAAACAAUAUCUUUUACACGCUUUUGAUAAACUCACUUUGUCUGUUGUUGUUGUAUGCUCAAAUCUUGUAACUCAAUGUUUCACCCACUUCACAAGUGGGUUACUUACAUCAUACUGAUGAUGUUCUACCAUAAAAUAAUCAAAAACAUAUUUUUAAAAACAUUAUUUUAAACGCUUUCUAUCAACUCACUCUGUCUGUUGUUGUUUUAGCCUCAAAUCUUGUAACUUAAUUUCAACCCACUUCCCAAUGUGGUAUCGACUGGACACUUGGUAUACUUUUGUCUUACUGAUGACAAGACUGUAUUCUAUCAUAAAAAGAAUAGAAUAUUUUUUUAACAAUAUUUUACACGCUUUCUAUUAACUCACUUUGUCUGUUGUUGUUGUAUCUUCAAAUCUUGUAACUCAAUUUUAACCCACUUCCCAAUGUGGUAUCGACUGGAAACUUGGUAUACUCAUGUCAUACUGAUGACAAUACCAUAUUCUAUCAUGAAAAUAAAUAUAAUAUAUUUGUAAACAAUAUUUUCACACGCUUUCUAUAAACGCACUUUGUCUGUUGUUGUUGUAUCCUCAAAUCUUGCAACUCAAUGUUUCACCCACUUCCCAAGUGGGUUACUUACGUCAUACUGAUGACGUUCUACCAUAAAAUAAUCUAAAACAUAUUUUUAAAAACAUUAUUUUACACGUUUUUGAUAAACUCACUCUGUUGUUGUUGUAUCUUCAAAUCUUGUAACUCAAUUUUAACCCACUUCCCAAUAUGGUAUCGACUGGAAACUUGGUAUACUAAUGUCAUACUAAUGACAAUACUGUAUUCUGUCAUAAAAAUGAAUAGAAUAUAUUUUUAAACAAUAUUUUUACACGCUUUCUAUUAAUUCACUGUCUGUUGUUGUUGUAUCCUCGAAUCUUGUAAGUUAAUUUUAACCCACUUUCCAAUGUGGUAUCGACUGGAAACUUGGUAUACUUUUGUCUUACCGAUGACAAUACUGUAUUGUCAUAAAAAAUAAAAAUACAAUUUUUUGAAA